CCGGCGACCGGCGGACGGGUGCGUAACGCGUAUGUAACCUACCUUUGACAGGGGGAUAACAUCGAGAAAUUGGUACUAAUACCCCAUAACAUCACCGGAGGCAUCAUCGGUGGUUGAAAACUCAGGUGGUCAGAGAUGGACAUGCGUUGUAUUAGCUAGUUGGUGAGGUAACGGCUCACCAAGGCGACGAUACAUAGGGGGACUGAGAGGUCAACCCCCCACAUUGGUACUGAGACACGGACCAAACUCCUACGGAAGGCAGCAG
rnacentral:rRNA from 1 species